rnacentral:misc_RNA from 1 species
UCCCCGUUAUCCGGGGCGGUUUCACUAGAGUGCUCGGCUUGACCCGGUGGCAACUAGGGAUGAGGGUUGCGCUCGUUGCGGGACUUAACCCAACAUCUCACGACACGAGCUGACGACAACCAUGCACCACCUGUCACCACUGUCCCCGAAGGGAAAGAUGUAUCUCUACACCGGUCAGUGGGAUGUCAAGACCUGGUAAGGUUCUUCGCGUAGCUUCGAAUUAAACCACAUGCUCCACCGCUUGUGCGGGUCCCCGUCAAUUCCUUUGAGUUUCAGUCUUGCGACCGUACUCCCCAGGCGGAGUGCUUAAUGCGUUUGCUCCAGCACUAAGGGGCGGAAACCCCCUAACACUUAGCACUCAUCGUUUACGGCGUGGACUAC